rnacentral:misc_RNA from 1 species
UGGAAAAGAAGCUGAAUACAAGAAAUUAGUUGAAAUAUUUGGAACCAGUUCUCCAGAUCCCUCUCCACGCCCUUCGGUCCAGAACGCUUUUUGUGAGUUUCCAGAUCAACAGAAAUUCAAUGGAAGUUGCAAUGGGACUAGCAUUAAGAACUUUAUGCAUUGGUUUGACACAGAGAACCUGCAUCCUCUAAAGGAUUUUGAUAAUCCACUGAAGGAUUUAG